rnacentral:rRNA from 1 species
AACACAUGCAAGUCGUGCGGUAACAGGCGGUAGCAAUACGUGCUGACGAGCGGCGAACGGGUGCGUAAUACAUGGGGAUCUGCCCUUUAGUGGGGAAUAACCCGGCGAAAGCCGGGCUAAUGCCGCAUAAGAUCUCCGGAUGAAAGCGGGGGACCGUAAGGCCUCGCGCUGAUGGAUGAGCCACAUGUCGGAUAUAGCUAGUGGUGAGGUAAUGGCUCACCAAGGCGACGAUCCGUAGCUGGUCUGAGAGGACGGGCCAGCCACACUGGGACCCCAGACUCCUACGGGAGGCAGCAGUGGGGAAUAUUGGACAAUGGGGGAAACCCUGAUCCAGCGACGCCGCGUGUGUGAAGAAGGCCCUGCGGGUUGUAAAGCACUUCGGUGGGAACGAAAUAUGCCGGGCUAAUACCCCGGUAGGCUGACGUUACUCAAUGAAGAAGCACCGGCUAACUCUGUGCCAGCAGCCCGCGGUAAUACAGAGGGUGCGAGCGUUAAUCGGAAUUACUGGGCGUAAAGCGCAACGUAGGUGGCGACGUAAGUCGGGUGUGAAAUCCCUGGGCUCAACCUGGGAACGGCACUU